CUUACCAGGUCAAGACAUGGGCGUGAUUGACAGGCUAAUGACUUUUCUCGAUUCCAUGGAUGGUGGUGCAUGGUCGCACUUAGUUGGUGCAGUGAUUUGUCAGGUUUAUUCCGGUAACGAACGAGACCUCGGCCUUGUAAAUAGCUAUGCUGCUUACAGGGACAUUGGCGGCUACGCCAAGGAAGCUCGAGGCAAUUGCAGAUCUGGAAUGCCCUUAGAUGUCCUGGGUCGCACGCGUGCUACAAUGACGCCACGAACGAGCUUGCGUGAUGAAAGUUACGCAUAAUCAGCAGUCGGCGUCUUAAGGGAUAGUCUCUUGUAACUGUGGGACUCCAACUAGGAAUGUCUCGUAAGCACAAGUCAACAUCUUGUGUUGAUUACGUCCCUGCUCUUUGUACACACCGCCCGUCGCUCCUACCGAUCGAGUGUUUAGGUGAAUUUGAUGGACGUAAGGAAGUCAAAUAAACCUGAGCACUAGAGAAGAGAAGUCGAAAAAUGUC
rnacentral:rRNA from 1 species